GCCAAAAAAAGGGGGUACUUAUGUAUGGCAGAACGGGCCAACCUGGUCUUUCAUAAUAAAGAGAUAGACGGAACUGCUAUGAAACGGCUUAUUAGCAGAUUAAUAGAUCAUUUCGGAAUGGGAUAUACAUCCCAUAUACUGGAUCAAAUAAAGACUCUGGGCUUCCAUCAAGCCACUACUACAUCGAUUUCUUUAGGAAUCGAGGAUCUUUUAACAAUACCCUCUAAAGGAUGGUUAGUCCAAGACGCGGAACAACAGAGUUUUCUUUUGGAGAAACACUAUUAUUAUGGAGCUAUACACGCGGUAGAAAAAUUACGCCAAUCCGUUGAGAUAUGGUAUGCUACAAGUGAAUAUUUGAAACAAGAAAUGAAUUCGAAUUUUCGAAUAACGGAUCCUUCUAAUCCAGUCUAUCUAAUGUCUUUUUCAGGAGCCAGAGGAAAUGCAUCUCAGGUACACCAUUAGUAGGUAUGAGAGGGUUAAUGGCGGAUCCUCAGGACAAAUGAUUGAUUUACCUAUUCAAAGCAAUUUAACGCGAGGGACUUUCUUUGACAGAAUAUAUAAUUUCCUGCUACGGAGCCCGAAAAGGGGUUGUAGAUACUGCUGUACGAACAGCGGAUGCUGGCUAUCUACACGUAGACUUGUUGAAGUAGUUUCAACAUAUUAUUGUGCGUAGAAGAGAUUGUGGUACUAUCCAAGGUAUUUCUGUGAGUCCUCAAAAUGGAUGACGGAAAAACUUUUUGUCCAAACACUAAUUGGUCGUGAUUAGCAGACGAUAUAUAUUUGGUUCACGAUGCAUUGCUUCUCGAAAUCAAGAUAUUGGAAUUGGAUUAGUCAAUCGAUUCAUAACUGCCUUUCGAGCACAACCGUUUCGAGCACAACCAAUAUAUAUUAGAACCCCCUUUACUUGCCGGAGCACAUCUUGGAUCUGUCAAUUAUGUUAUGGGCGGAGUCCCACUCAUGGGAUCUGGUCGAAUUGGGGGAAGCUGUAGGUAUUAUUGCGGGUCAAUCAAUUGGGGAGCCGGGGACUCAAUUAACAUUAGAACUUUUCAUACUGGUGGAGUAUUCACAGGGGGUACUGCCGACCUUAUACGAUCCCCCUCGAAUGGAAAAUCCAAUUCAAUGAGGAUUUGGUUCACCCCACACGUACCCGUCAUGUGCAGCCUGCUUUCUUAUGCUAUAUAGACUUGCAUGUAACUAAUUCAGAGUCAGGAUAUUCUACAUAGUGUGAAUAUUCCGUUAAAAAGCUUGAUUCUAGUGCAAAAUGAUCAAUAUGUAGAAUCUGAACCAGUAAUUGCGGAGAUUCGUGGCCGGAACGUCCACUUGCAUUUUAAAGGAAAAAGGUACAAAGCAUAUUUAUUCCGAAUCAGACGGGGAAAUGCACUGGAGUACUGAUGUUUACCAUGCGCCCGAAUAUCAAUAUGGUAAUCUUCGUCGAUUACCAAAAACAAGCCAUUAUGGAUAUUGUCAGUAAGUAUGUGCAGAUCCAGUAUAGCAUCUUUUUCGCUGCACAAGGAUCAAGAUCAAAUGAAUACUUAUUCUUUUUCUGUUGAUGGAAGAUAUAUCUUUGACUUCUCAAUGGCUAAUGAUCAGUAAGCCAUAGACUGUUGGAUACUUUUGGUAAAAAGAUAGAGAAAUUCUUGAUUAUUUAACGCCAGAUCGAAUCGUGUUCAACGGUCCAUUGGAAUUGUUUCUAUCCUUCCAUUCUUCAAGAUAAUUCAGAUUUGUUGGCGAAAAAGCGAAGAAUAGGCUCGUCGUUUCCAUUACAAUAUCAUCAAGAACAAGAAAAAGAGCGAAUAUCCUGUUUGGGUAUUUCAAUGGAAAUACCCUUUAUGGGUGUUUUACGUAGAAAUACUAUUUUUGCUUAUUUUGACGAUCCACGAUACAGAAAAGAUAAAAGGGGUUCAGGAAUUGUUAAAUUUAGAUAUAGGACCCUGGAGGAGAAUAUCGGACCCAAGAGGAAGAGUAUAGGACUCGAGAGGAAGAAUAUCGGACUCGAGAGGAAGACUCAGAAGACGAAUAUGAGAGCCCAGAGAACAAAUAUAGGACCCGAGAGGGAGAGGGCGAAUAUAAAAUCCUAGAAGACGAAUAUAGGACUCUAGAGGACGAAUAUGAAACCCUAGAAGAUGAAUAUGGGAUCCUAGAGGACGAAUAUAGGACUCUAGAGAAAGACUCAGAGGAAGAAUAUGGGAGCCUAGAGAACAAAUAUAGGACUCGAGAGGGAGAGGGCGAAUAUGAAAUCCUAGAGGAAGAAUCAGAAGAAGAAUAUGGGAGCUCUGAAGAUGGCUCAGAGAAGGAAUAUGGGACUUUAGAAGAAGACUCAGAAGAAGACUCAGAGGAAGACUCAGAAGACGAAUAUGGGAGCCCGGAGGAAGAUUCUAUCUUAAAAAAAAGAGGGUUUUAUUGAGCAUCGAGGAACAAAAGAAUUUAGUCUAAAAUACCAAAAAGAAGUAGAUCGGUUUUUUUUCAUUCUUCAAGAACUGCAUAUCUUGCCGAGAUCCUCAUCCCUAAAGGUACUUGACAAUAGUAUUAUUGGAGUCGAUACACAACUCACAAAAAAUACAAGAAGUCGACUAGGUGGAUUGGUCCGAGUGAAGAGAAAAAAAAGCCAUACAGAACUCAAAAUCUUUUCCGGAGAUAUUCAUUUUCCUGAAGAGGCGGAUAAGAUAUUAGGUGGCAGUUUGAUACCACCAGAAAGAGAAAAAAAAGAUUCUAAGGAAUCAAAAAAAAAGGAAAAAAUUGGGUUUAUGUUCAACGGAAAAAAUUUCUCAAAAGCAAGGAAAAGUAUUUUGUUUCGGUUCGACCUGCAGUCGCAUAUGAAAUGGACGAAGGGAUAAAUUUAGCAACACUUUUCCCGCAGGAUCUCCUGCAAGAAGAGGAUAAUCUCCAACUUCGACUUGUCAAUUUUAUUUCUCAUGAAAAUAGCAAGUUAACUCAAAGAAUUUAUCACACGAAUAGUCAAUUCGUUCGAACUUGCUUAGUAGUGAAUUGGGAACAAGAAGAAAAAGAGGGAGCUCGUGCUUCUCUUGUUGAGGUAAAAACAAAUGAUCUAAUUCGCGAUUUCCUAAGAAUUGAGUUAGUCAAGUCUACUAUUUUGUAUACACGAAGAAGGUAUGAUAGGACAAGUGUAGGAUUGAUUCCCAAUAAUAGGUUAGAUCGCAACAAUACCAAUUCCUUUUAUUCCAAGGCGAAGAUUCAAUCACUUAGCCAACAUCAAGAAGUUAUUGGCACCUUGUUGAAUCGAAAUAAAGAAUAUCCAUCUUUGAUGAUUUUGUUGGCAUCCAACUGUUCUCGAAUUGGUUUAUUCAAGAAUUCUAAAUAUCCCAAUGCGGUAAAAGAAUCGAAUCCUAGAAUUCCUAUUCGAGAUAUUUUUGGGCUCUUAGGCGUUAUUGUACCUAGUAUAUCGAAUUUUUCUUCAUCUUACUAUUUAUUAACGCAUAAUCAGAUCUUGUUAAAAAAAUACUUGUUCCUUGACAAUUUGAAACAAACCUUACAAGUACUUCAAGGACUUAAAUACUCUUUAAUAGACGAAAAUAAAAGGAUUUCGAAUUUUGACAGUAACAUCAUGUUGGAGCCAUUCCAUUUGAAUUGGCACUUUCUCCAUCAUGACUCAUGGGAAGAGACAUUGGCAAUAAUUCACCUUGGACAAUUUAUUUGUGAAAAUUUAUGUCUAUUUAAAUUACACAUAAAAAAAUCUGGUCAAAUUUUCAUUGUUAAUAUGGACUCCUUUGUUCUAAGAGCAGCUAAGCCUUAUUUGGCCACUAUAGGAGCAACUGUUCAUGGUCAUUAUGGAAAAAUCCUUUACAAAGGAGAUAGGUUAGUUACGUUUAUAUAUGAAAAAUCGAGAUCCAGUGAUAUAACGCAAGGUCUUCCAAAAGUAGAACAAAUCUUCGAAGCGCGUUCAAUUGAUUCACUAUCGCCGAAUCUCGAAAGGAGAAUUGAGGAUUGGAAUGAACGUAUACCAAGAAUUCUUGGGGUUCCCUGGGGAUUCUUGAUUGGAGCUGAGCUAACCAUAGCCCAAAGUCGUAUCUCUUUGGUUAAUAAGAUCCAAAGGUUUAUCGAUCCCAAGGGGUACAGAUCCAUAAUAGACAUAUAGAGAUUAUUAUACGCCAAGUAACAUCAAAAGUAAGGGUUUCCGAAGAUGGAAUGUCUAAUGUUUUUUUACCUGGGGAAUUAAUAGGACUAUUGCGAGCGGAACGAGCAGGGCGGGCUUUAGAUGAAUCGAUCUAUUAUCGGGCAAUCUUAUUGGGAAUAACAAGGGCUUCCCUGAAUACCCAAAGUUUCAUAUCUGAAGCAAGUUUUCAAGAAACUGCUCGAGUUUUAGCAAAAGCUGCCCUACGAGGUCGUAUUGAUUGGUUGAAAGGUCUGAAAGAAAACGUAGUUCUGGGGGGGAUUAUACCUGUUGGUACCGGAUUCCAAAAUUUGUGCAUCGUUCCCCACAAGACAAGAACCUUUAUUUAGAAAUUCAAAAAAAAAAUCUAUUCGCGUCGGAAAUGAGAGAUAUUUUGUUUCUCCAUACAGAAUUAGUUUCUUCUGAUUCUGACGUAACAAACAAUUUCUAUGAAACAUCAGAGACCCCGUUUACCCCUAUUUAUACGAUUUAAGUAUACAUAAAGCAAUUUUUUUUACUUUAAUUUAAACUAUACUUUUGACCUUAGAAUGCUAACAGGUCUGAUUUUCGAUUUUGUACUUAAAUUUAAAUUGUAUUUUAAUAAGUAAAAGAAGUCAGUUAAUUCAUUAAGGCUAUGUUUAUACCGUGUAUCAAUGGUCAAGAAGGUUCCAUUGGAACAAUUAUUAUUUAUUUCAAGCUAUUUCGGCUCUUUCUUAUCUUCAAAAAGAAAUGAAUUCCGUAAUGGUAACACGAAAAAAGAAAAAAAAAGGAAGUGUGGAAAAAAUGACAAGAAGAUAUUGGAACAUCAAUUUGAAAGAGAUGAUAGAAGCGGGAGUUUCAUUUUGGUCAUGGUAUUAAGAAAUGGAAUCCCAAAAUGGCCCCUUACAUCUCGGCAAAGCGUAAAGGUACUCAUAUUACAAAUCUUGCUAGAACAGCUCGUUUUUUUAUCAGAAGCUUGUGAUUUAGUUUUUGAUGCAGCAAGUCAGGGAAAAAGCUUCUUAAUUGUUGGUACCAAAAAAAAGAGCAGCGGAUUUAGUAGCAUCAGCUGCAAUAAGGUCUCGUUGUCAUUAUGUUAAUAAAAAGUGGUUCAGCGGUAUGUUAACGAAUUGGUCGAUUACCAAAACUAGACUUUCUCAAUUUAGAGACUUAAGAGCAGAAGAAAAAAUGGGAAAAUUCCACCAUCUCCCAAAAAGAGAUGCGGCAAUCUUAAAGAGAAAAUUAUCUACCUUGCAAAGAUAUCUCGGCGGGAUCAAAUAUAUGACGAGGUUGCCUGACAUUGUGAUCGUCCUUGAUCAGCAAAAAAGAGUAUAUAGCUCUUCAGGAAUGUGCCAUUUUGGGGAUUCCUACUAUUUCUUUAGUCGAUACAAAUUGUGACCCAGAUCUUGCGAAUAUAUCGAUUCCUGCCAACGAUGACACUAUGACUUCAAUUCGAUUAUUCUUAACAAAUUAGUAUUUGCAAUUUCUGAGGGCCGUUCUCUCUAUAUAAGAAAUCGUUGAUUAAGAAGAAUAGUGAAUUCUUGAGCAACUGCGUAGAUUUAUAGGAUUAAUUACUAUUCUUUUUUGUUUUGCAUAGAUAAAAGAAGGGAAAUAUUGAUAUAUAUAUUAGAGGGUAUUGAUAUAUAUUAUGAUCUGAUGUGAUUUCUUGGUAUAUUAAAUAUAAGAUUAAUACUUCAAGUUGCUGAGUUGAGAAAGAGAUGCUUGAAUCAAAAGAAUUCCUUUUUUGAAGUUCAAUUUUUAUCAGAGGACAAUAUGAAUAUUACACCAUGUUCCAUUAAAACACUCAAGGGGUUAUAUGAUAUAUCGGGUGUAGAAGUAGGGGCAACACUUCUAUUGGCAAAUAGGAGGUUUCCAAAUUCAUGCCCAAGUACUCAUCACUUCUUGGGGUCGUAAUUACUAUUUUGCUAGGUUCAGUUAUCAUAGCUGUUCGGAAUCCACAAACCAUCCCGACCGAUGGUCAGAAUUUCUUCGAAUAUGUCCUUGAGUUUAUUCGAGACUUGAGCAAAACUCAGAUUGGAGAAGAAUAUGGUCCCUGGGUUCCCUUUAUUGGAACUAUGUUCCUUUUUAUUUUUGUUUCGAAUUGGUCAGGUGCUCUUUUACCUUGGAAAAUUAUAGAGUUACCCCAUGGGGAAUUAGCAGCGCCCACGAAUGAUAUAAAUACUACUGUUGCUUUAGCUUUACUAACAUCAGCGGCAUAUUUUUAUGCGGGUCUUAGCAAAAAAGGAUUGAGUUAAUUUCGAAAAAUAUAUUAAACCAACCCCAAUCCUUUACCUAUUAACCAUCCUAGAAGAUUUCACAAAACCAUUAUCACUUAGUUUUCGACUUUUCGGAAAUAUAUUGGCGGAUGAAUUAGUCGUUGUUGUUCUUGUUUCUUUAGUCCCCUUAGUAGUCCCUAUACCGGUCAUGUUUCUUGGAUUAUUUACAAGCGGUAUUCAAGCUCUUAUUUUUGCAACGUUAGCCGCAGCCUAUAUAGGUGAAUCCAUGGAAGGUCAUCAUUGAAUUAACUAGUUUUUGAAAUAGUCUUUCUUUUUUUAGCUUAGCCCAAUUCAUGCAUGAUUCCGGAUAAUCCUCUUAGUUGGAAAACUAAAUAGUUCGAAAGGCGUAUGAAUAUACAACCUAGAGUUGUAGGAGAGAGAAUAGACUAUAUUAUGGAAGAGGUAAAGUAUAUAUGCAUUCAGGGGGCCAAGUCAGGUUAGAUCUAUAUCUUUAAUGCCUAUAAGACAGUCAUCUUUUGUGUGGCUUUCUAAAGAAUGAUUUUAGAAUCGGAUUCAAUAGAAAAUGAGAAAAUAGGCAAACAAAAUAGAAGAAACAAAUGUAUAUGGGAUUUUUUUAUUCCUAAGUUAGAUUCAUUAUCUAAUCCGAUAUAUAGAAUUCCCUUCUAUAUGGAACUGGAUUCCAUAUCUAGUUCUAUGCAGCAUAUUGUUAUCAAUUGUAUAUCUUGAUUUGAUUCCUAUUGGAUUUGGAUUAGUUCGAUUUCAAUAGGGGUUCUUCCUGUAUUUCGUCUUUUAUUAUGUUAGAUGAAGGGGAAAAAAAUGGGAACUCAAAGAUAUCGAAGAGUAAAAAAAAGGAUGGAAUAAAAGAGUGAUUGGUUGAAAAGAAAGAGAAAUAGAAUAAUGAGAAUCAUAUGGAUUUACACAAACCUCUAAUGAUUAGAAACUAAAACGAGAUCUCGAAGUAAUUCGAACGAUUUCGAUUAUCAUUUAUUUGUACUUAUUAGUUACUUUCUACCCGAUAGAGCUUAGAAGUUGGAAGUAAUAAUUUCUUGGUUGAUUGUAUCCUUAACCAUUUCUUUUUUUUUGACACGAGGAACUCAUCAUGAAUCCACUAAUUGCUGCUGCUUCCGUUAUUGCUGCUGGAUUGGCCGUAGGGCUUGCUUCUAUUGGGCCCGGAGUUGGUCAAGGUACUGCUGCAGGACAAGCUGUAGAAGGUAUUGCGAGACAGCCAGAAGCAGAAGGUAAAAUAAGAGGUACUUUAUUGCUUAGUCUAGCUUUUAUGGAAGCUUUAAACAAUUUAUGGACUGGUUGUGGCACUAGCGCUUUUAUUUGCGAACCCUUUUGUUUAAUCCUAAAAAAGAAAAUGAGUCCUUUAGAUUAGAUACUUUUUUCUUUUUUUAGUACAUUGGCAUUUGCUUAUGUAAUUCUAAGUAUAUCAAUACUUUACUUUACUCCUAUUUAUUAUAUUAUUUCUUUUUUAUAUUAUUCCGGAAAUUUUGUAUUUAUCGGGACAGACAAUACCCUAGGAACCCCAAGAAGGGCUGAUUUGAGCAUGAUCAAUUUAGAGGAUAUGCUCGCCCUCUUCCUUCCCGUCCUUAGUUUAGGACAGUGGAAAGUAUUUUUCCUUUUAUUUUAGGAAUUUUGGGAACAUUUCAACAAAGGAGAUCUUUCACAGGUCAAACGAGACCUAAGACUUAAUCUAAAAGAAAUUAUUAGAUUGAAUCUAUUUGCAUUAAAAAAAACCGAUCAAAAAAGGACGAGCGAAGUAAGUAAUCGAAAAACUUUCUUCUUUGUUCGUCCUAUCUAUAAGAGGAGAGCAUAUGAAAAAUGUAACCCAUUCUUUUGUUUUUUUAGCUCACUGGCCAUUCGCUGGGAGUUUCGGGCUUAAUACCGAUAUUUAGCAACAAAUCUAAUAAAUCUAACUGUAGUGGUUGGUGUAUUGAUUUUUUUUGGAAAGGGAGUGUGUGCGAGUUGUCUAUUUCAAGAAUAGAUUGGAUCUAUCCGGCUGCACUUUAGAAUAUUUUUAGUAUUUUUUUUGAUAAAUAAGAAAAGGUGCACGAUCUCGACGAAUUACUUCUGAAUAACUUCAGAAAUCAUAUGGAAGAACCAUAGCAUUUCGCGAUUCAUUGGUAAAUUUACUUUGAUUCUCUAUAGACCAAUAAUGUGAGACCAUUAACACGGUUAAAGCUAAACUGCUUGAAGUCCGGGCAAAAAGGGGUACUCUUUCUACAACUACAUUAGUAUUAGUCUCGAAAUGCUUUAAACGGGAAAUAGCUAGUGUAGAAUUUAUCUGAUAUAGAACACUCAUAUCGAUAAAAUAGUUUGAACUAUUUACUAGAAGGGCACGCAGCCCUUUUUCCAAUGCCAAAUCGACGACCUAUGUAUAAAAAAAAGAGAAAUUUUUUGGAUUUGAAGAAAAAAUAAAAGGAAUUCUAUCAAUUUUUAUUUUCCAUUUAUUUAGUUAGUUUUUCUUAAUGAAAUUGAAAUUAUUAACUAACAGAGCAAACACAAAUAAAGAAACAACUUUGCUGACCAUGAUAGAUUUUUAUCUAGUUGGAAGAGUCCUCUUAAUAUUCAUCUAGUCUUAUAUAAGUUUGGGUAUAUAGAAAUACAAACAGAAAAGAGAGGAUAGAGGAUAGGCUCAUUACAUAAAAAAAAGAUAUGGAAAUAGCCAUAAUACAUAACAAAAAAGAAAAAAAGGAGCGGGAGAGCCAAAUGAAUCGAAAGAUUCAUGUUUGGUUCGGGAAGAGAUCAUAAAAAUUGUAAACUUAAUAGCAAGAUAAUCUACUUUCAUUAAAAGAUUUAUUAGAUAAUCGAAAACAGAGGAUUUUAAGUACUAUUCGAAAUUCGGAAGAAUUGCGUAAAGGGACCCUUGAACAACUCGAAAAAGCUCGUAUUCGAUUACAGAAAGUCGAACUGGAAGCAGAUGAGUAUCGAAUGAAUGGAUACUCUGAAAUAGAACGAGAAAAAGAAAAUUUGAUUAAUGCUACUUCUAUUAGUUUGGAACAAUUAGAAAAGUCUAAAAACGAAACCCUUUAUUUUGAAAAACAAAGGGCGAUGAAUCAGGUCCGACAACGGGUUUUCCAACAAGCUGUACAAGGAGCUCUAGGAACUCUGAAUAGUUGUUUGAAUACCGAGUUACAUUUCCGUACGAUUCGUGCUAAUAUUGGCAUUCUCGGGGCCAUAGAAUGGAAGAGAUAAUUCAAUUUAUUAGGUUUUGAACUUCUACUUUUGUUUAGAAUUUAGGCAUUAUUUUUCCCUUGCUUCCAAAAAAAAAAAAAUUAAAGAAACACUAAUGGCAACCCUUCGAGUCGACGAAAUUAAUAAAAUUCUCCGCGAACGUAUUGAACAAUAUAAUAGGAAAGUAGGGAUUGAGAAUAUCGGUCGCGUAGUGCAAGUGGGGGAUGGGAUUGCUCGUAUUAUAGGUCUUGGUGAAAUAAUGUCAGGUGAAUUAGUCGAAUUUGCAGAAGGGACGAGAGGUAUUGCUCUGAAUUUGGAAUCUAAAAAUGUUGGGAUUGUAUUAAUGGGCGAUGGGUUGAUGAUACAAGAGGGAAGUUUUGUAAAAGCAACAGGAAGAAUUGCUCAGAUACCCGUGAGCGAGGCUUACUUGGGUCGUGUUAUAAAUGCUCUCGCUAAACCUAUUGAUGGGAGAGGCGAAAUUGUCGCUUCAGAAUCUCGCUUAAUUGAAUCUCCUGCUCCGGGUAUAAUUUCUAGGCGUUCCGUAUAUGAACCCCUUCAAACAGGGCUUAUUGCUAUCGAUUCGAUGAUCCCCAUAGGGCGCGGUCAGCGAGAGUUAAUUAUUGGGGACAGACAGACUGGCAAAACAGCAGUAGCCACAGAUACAAUUCUCAAUCAAAAAGGUCAAGAUGUAAUAUGUGUUUAUGUAGCUAUCGGUCAAAGAGCAUCCUCCGUGGCUCAAGUAGUAACUACUUUCCACGAAGAGGGGGCCAUGGAAUACACUAUUGUAGUAGCUGAAAUGGCGGAUUCACCCGCUACAUUACAAUAUCUCGCUCCUUAUACGGGAGCAGCCCUGGCUGAGUAUUUUAUGUACCGCGAACGGCAUACCUUAAUAAUUUAUGAUGAUCUCUCCAAACAGGCACAAGCUUAUCGCCAAAUGUCCCUUCUAUUAAGAAGACCUCCCGGCCGCGAAGCUUAUCCAGGGGAUGUUUUUUAUUUGCAUUCACGCCUUUUAGAAAGAGCCGCUAAAUUAAUUCUCUUUUAGGCGAAGGGAGUAUGACCGCUUUACCAAUAGUGGAGACUCAAUCUGGAGACGUUUCCGCCUAUAUUCCUACUAAUGUAAUUUCAAUUACAGAUGGACAAAUAUUCUUAUCCGCGGAUCUAUUCAAUGCCGGAAUUCGACCUGCUAUUAAUGUGGGUAUUUCAGUUUCCAGAGUAGGAUCCGCAGCUCAAAUUAAAGCCAUGAAACAAGUAGCUGGCAAAUCAAAAUUGGAACUAGCUCAAUUCGCAGAAUUACAAGCCUUUGCACAAUUCGCCUCCGCUCUGGAUAAAACAAGUCAGAAUCAAUUGGCAAGGGGUCGACGAUUACGGGAAUUGCUUAAACAAUCCCAAUCAAACCCUCUCCCAGUGGAAGAGCAGGUAGCUACUAUUUAUACCGGAACGAGAGGAUAUCUUGAUUCGUUAGAAAUUGAACAGGUAAAGAAAUUUCUGGAUGAGUUACGUAAACACCUAAAAGAUACUAAACCUCAAUUCCAAGAAAUUAUAUCUUCUAGUAAGACAUUCACCGAGCAAGCAGAAACCCUUUUGAAGGAAGCUAUUCAGGAACAGCUUGAACGGUUUUCCCUUCAGGAACAAACAUAAAUAUAGCAUGUCUACUCUUAUUAGUAUAACUCGUGUUAGUAGAAGAGGAAUCAAAGAUUUUUCAUUUGAAUCAUGCAAAAUUUUUUUUCGUUUUUAGUAUAGUUAUUUAAAGAAUAGAUAGAAAAAAGAUUGCGUCCAAUAGGAUUUGAACCUAUACCAAAGGUUUAGAAGACCUCUGUCCUAUCCAUUAGACAAUGGACGCUUCUCUUUCUUAUUUUAUUCUUUCUUUUUAUAUUUCAGAGAAAUAAUAAAAAACUGUUAGACCGAAACUCUUUUAGGAAAGAAAAACAAAUCCAUAUACCAUAUACAAAUGGAUGAUACAUAUAUCAUAAAGAAGGAAUAUGGAGCAGGUAGUCAGUAUCGAACCCGUAACCCCAAGGUUAUGAGCUUUGUGAGCUACCAAACUGCUCCACCUUCUUAGCGGGAAACUAGUGGGUUGGAUAGGCCCCUCUACCAUAUCUAUACAAAUAGAAUAGUCCAUUUAUACAGAAUGGUAAAGAGGGCUCUUCUACGAUCAUCAAUUCGAGAAAACCAUACAAAUAUGAAAGAAAGGGUAUUUUAUCCUUACCAACUGGAUCUUGUUGCACCCGGUAACAAACAUGCAUAAACCAUUUCUCGAAGUAUGUGUCCGGAUAGCCCAAAGUCUCGAUAGUUAGCUCUAGGUCUUCCGGUUAAAAAACAACGUCGAUGAAGGCGUGUAGGUGCACUAUUACGUGGUAGGGAUUGCAAUUUUUCUUGCAUUUUUGUUUUUUCGCUCAAACUCAAAGGGGAAACUUUGCUUCUUAUCUUUUUUUUUGAGGAUCGACGAAUCAAAUGAUAUUUUUGUUCUAAUUUCUGCCGCUUCUUCUCCCUCUGAAUCAAACUUUUUUUUGCCAUAAUGUGCCGUUCCUAUUAUUACCAAGUAUAUGGUUCUAAUCCUAGAUAGAAAAAAUAAAUAGCAAAAAUCUAAAAAGGCGGAUCCUCCCUCUCCAUCAAGAGUAAUGAACUGGGUUCUGAUACAGUACAAAAAAAAAAUAACUAAAUUAACCAAACUUGCCUGAUGUUGAGGCAAUCAAGAAAGCUGCAUAAGUGAAUAUAUAACCCACGGAAAAGUGGGCUAAUCCGACCAAUCUUGCUUGCACAAUGGAAAGAGCCACGGGCUUAUCUCUCCAGCGAAUUAAAUUAGCCAAAGGUGUCCGUUCAUGAGCCCAUGCUAAAGUCUCAAUUAAUUCCUGCCAAUAUCCACGCCAGGAAAUUAAGAACAUAAAUCCUGUAGCCCAAACAAGAUGUCCAAAUAAGAACAUCCAAGCCCAUACUGAUAAACUAUUCAUCCCAAAAGGAUUAUAUCCAUUAAUAAGUUGUGAAGAGUUUAACCAUAGGUAAUCUCUUAACCAUCCCAUCAAAUAAGUGGAGGAUUCAUUAAAUUGUGAAACGUUGCCCUGCCAUAAUGUAAUGUGUUUCCAAUGCCAAUAAAAAGUAACCCAUCCAAUGGUAUUUAACAUCCAGAAAACUGCCAAAUAAAACGCGUCCCAAGCAGAAAUAUCACAAGUACCGCCGCGCCCUGGGCCGUCGCAAGGAAAACUAUACCCGAAAUCCUUUUUAUCCGGCAUUAAUUUGGAACCGCGUGCAUCUAAAGCACCCUUUACUAAAAUCAAUGUAGUUGUAUGCAAACCUAGAGCAAUAGCAUGAUGAACCAAGAAAUCCCCAGGUCCUAUUGUUAAGAAAAGCGAAUUACUAUUCUCAUUAACAGCAUUCAACCAUCCGGGCAACCAUAUGUUUCGACCUGCAUUGAAAGCGGGGCCAUUCGUUGAAGAUAAGAGUAUAUCGAACCCAUAUGUCGUCUUACCAUGAGCAGAUUGUAUCCAUUGGGCAAAUAUAGGUUCAAUCAAGAUUUGCUUUUCUGGAGUACCAAAAGCAAGCAUAACGUCGUUAUGAACAUAAAGGCCCAAGGUAUGGAAUCCUAGGAAGAGGCUAGCCCAACUUAAAUGAGAUAUGAUAGCUUCCUUAUGGUCUAACAUUCUUGCCAAUACAUUAUCUUCAUUCUGUUCCGGAUUGUAAUCCCUAAUGAAAAAAAUAGCUCCAUGAGCAAAAGCCCCUGUCAUGAUGAACCCUGCAAUGUAUUGGUGAUGAGUAUAUAAAGCAGCUUGAGUAGUAAAGUCUUGUGCUAUGAAUGCAUAAGCAGGUAAAGAGUACAUAUGUUGAGCUACUAAGGAAGUAAUAACCCCUAAGGAAGCUAGAGCAAGGCCUAAUUGAAAAUGAAUCGAAUUAUUGAUUGUAUCAUAAAGGCCUUUAUGCCCACGUCCUAAUCGACCCCCCGGAGGAGUAUGUGCUUCUAAAAGAUCUUUGAUACUGUGCCCAAUUCCGAAGUUAGUUCGAUACAUAUGACCGGCAAUGAGAAAAAUAAAUGCAAUAGCUAAAUGAUGAUGAGCAAUAUCGGUCAGCCACAAACUUUGUGUUUGUGGAUGGAAUCCCCCAAGAAGGGUCAGAAUGGCAGUUCCCGCUCCUUGAGUGGUACCAAAUAAAUGAUUACUCGAAUCAGGAUUUUGGGCAUAAAGAUUCCACUGACCCGUCAGAAGGGGACCCAACCCCUGGGGAUAGGGUAAUACAUCUAAGAAAUUAUUCCAUCGAACGUACUCCCCCCUGGAUCCGGGAAUAGCAACAUGAACUAAAUGUCCUGUCCAAGCCAAAGAACUUACUCCGAAAAGUCCUGACAAAUGAUGAUUCAGACGAGAUUCGGCGUUUUUGAACCACGAAAGGCUUGGCUUCCAUUUGGGUUGUAGAUGUAACCAACCCCCUAUUAAGGAUAGCGUAGAAAGAAAUAAUAGAAAAAGAGCUCCAGUAUAAAGAUCUUCAUUGGUGCGCAAUCCAAUUGUAUACCACCACUGAUAAACCCCAGAAUAAGCGAUAUUCACUGGACCGGCAGCACCUCCUCGAGUAAAGGCUUCCACAGCGGGUUGCCCAAAAUGAGGAUCCCAAAUGGCAUGAGCAAUAGGUCUUACGUGUAAAGGAUCCUGUAUCCAUGAUUCAAAAUUUCCUUGCCAAGCUACAUGAAACAGAUUUCCGGACGUCCAUAGAAAGAUUAUUGCUAACUGCCCAAAGUGAGAAGCAAAAAUGUUCUGAUAAAGACGUUCCUCAGUAAUAUCAUCAUGACUUUCGAAAUCAUGUGCGGUAGCAAUACCAAACCAAAUACGACGAGUAGUGGGGUCCUGAGCUAAGCCUUGGCUAAACCUGGGAAAUCUUAAUUCCAUAAUGCCUUUCAAAUCCUCCUAGCCACUAUCCUACUGCAAUAAUUCUCGCUAAGAAGAAUGCCCAUGUUGUGGCAAUUCCACCCAGAAGGUAAUGGGUUACUCCUACAGCACGUCCUUGUAUAAUGCUCAAGGCUCUAGGCUGAGUAGCAGGAGCAACUUUUAAUUUGUUAUGAGCCCAAACGAUAGAUUCAAUGAGUUCUUGCCAAUAACCACGGCCGCUGAAUAAAAACAUUAAACUGAAAGCCCAGACAAAAUGAGCGCCUAAGAAAAAAAGACCAUAUGCAGAUAAUGAAGAACCAUAAGACUGAAUUACUUGGGAUGCCUGUGCCCACAAGAAAUCUCGAAGCCAACCAUUAAUCGUAAUGGAACUCUGCGCAAAGUUUCCCCCUGUGAUAUGAGUUACUAUCCCUUGAUCACUUAUAGUACCCCAAACAUCCGACUGCAUUUUCCAACUGAAAUGGAAAAUGACUACCGAAAUAGAAUUGUACAUCCAGAAUAGACCUAAGAAAACAUGAUCCCAGGCGGAUACUUGACAUGUUCCCCCUCGCCCAGGUCCGUCGCAAGGGAAGCGAAAGCCAAGAUUUGCUUUAUCAGGUAUCAGACGGGAACUGCGAGCAAAUAAAACACCUUUCAAAAGUAUUAAUACAGUCACAUGGAUGGUAAAUGCGUGAAUGUGAUGGACUAAAAAAUCUGCGGUUCCUAAUGGAAUAGGUAACAAAGCUACUUUGCCGCCUAUAGCUACUAACUCGCCGCCUCCCCACGUUAAGCUGGUACUUGUUGUUGCACCAGGAGCUGUUACGCCAGGCGCGCCAGCAUGGAUAUUUUGUAUCCAUUGAGCAAAGAUGGGUUGUAAUUGUAUGGCGGUAUCCGAAAACAUAUCUUGGGGACGGCCUAAAGCACUCAUGGUAUCAUUAUGAAUGUACAAGCCAAAACUGUGAAAACCCAGAAAUAUACAUACCCAGUUAAGGUGGGAUAUGAUUGCAUCGCGGUGUCUAAGGACGCGAUCUAAUAGAUCGUUGUAUCGAGUAGUUGGAUCAUAGUCUCUUACCAUAAAAAUGGCUGCAUGUGCAGCAGCACCAACUAUUAGAAAUCCGCCAAUCCACAUGUGGUGUGUGAACAAGGAAAGUUGUGUACCGUAGUCAGUAGCUAGGUAUGGAUAGGGGGGCAUAGAGUACAUAUGAUGAGCUACAACAAUAGUUGUAGAGCCUAGCAUAGCUAGGUUAAGAGAUAAUUGAGCAUGCCAUGACGUUGUUAGGAUUUCAUAGAGACCUUUAUGGCCUUGUCCUGUAAAUGGGCCCUUAUGAGCCUCCAAAAUAUCUUUAAGUCCAUGACCAAUACCCCAAUUGGUCCUAUACAUAUGACCAGCGAUCAGGAAAAGAAUAGCAAUAGCUAAAUGAUGGUGUGCAAUAUCGCUCAACCAUAGACCACCGGUUAUUGGAUCUAGUCCUCCGCGAAAACUAAGAAAUUCCGCAUAUUUGGACCAAUUCAAGGUGAAAAAAGGGGUUGCUCCUUCGGCAAAACUAGGAUAAAGUUGAGCCAAAAGGUCGCGAUUCAAGAUAAAUUCAUGAGGAAGUGGUAUCUCUUUAGGAUCAACCCCAGCGUCGAGAAAUUGGUUAAUCGGUAAAGAUACAUGGAUUUGGUGUCCCGCCCAAGAAAGAGACCCAAGUCCUAAUAAUCCCGCUAAGUGGUGAUUCAACAUGGAUUCUACAUCUUGGAACCAGGCCAAUUUGGGAGCGGCUUUGUGAUAAUGGAACCAACCGGCAAAAAGCAUUAACGAUGCAAAAAUCAAUGCACCAAUUGCGGUACAAUAGAGUUGUAAUUCACUAGUUAUUCCGGAUGCUCGCCAAAUCUGAAAAAAACCAGAGGUUAUUUGGAUUCCUCGGAAACCCCCGCCUACAUCACCAUUCAAAAUUUCUUGUCCUACUAUUGGCCAAACUACCUGAGCACUGGGUCCAAUGUGAGUAGGAUCGCUUAGCCAUGCUUCAUAAUUGGAAAAACGGGCACCGUGGAAGUACAUGCCACUCAACCAAAGAAAGAUAAUGGAGAGUUGGCCGAAAUGAGCACUAAAGACUUUUCGGGAGAUCUCCUCCAAAUCACCGGUAUGACUAUCGAAAUCGUGAGCAUCAGCAUGUAGGUUCCAGAUCCAAGUGGUAGUAUCGGGGCCCUUAGCUAUUGUUCUUGAGAAAUGCCCGGGUCUGGCCCAUUCCUCAAAAGAUGUUUUUAUAGGAUCCCUAUCCACAGCAAUUUUAACUUCUGGUUCCGACGAACGAAUAAUCAUUAAGUCCUCCUCUUUCCGGACAAGACAUACAAAGAGACCCGCCAACUGUCUUUUUAUUGAAUCUUUUAAAGAUAGAUAUUAUGAUUAGUCCUUUUCUUUACUAUCUACCGUCCUUCUAUUUUUUUUUUUUAGUUAUUCACUGGAGCAAUUAUAUAUUGAAGUCAAUCCGAGGCAAGUGUUCGGAUCUAUUAUGACAUAAGGAUUAGGUGCCUAACGGACAUUGGUUAUUCUGGAAAAUUAUUUCCCGACAUAACAAAAAAAUCUUUUUUUACGUUUUAAUUUAAGAAGCUGGUGUAUUUUUUUUCUGAGGGUAUAAGCCCCUAUCUACAUCUACUUUCCUUGAGUGAGCAUAAUAUAGAUUUUUUGAUUCGAUUCAAAAUUCCAAGAUAACUCAUUAGAAUUAUUAAUAAGACCGUCCUGAUAUAUUAGGUAGGAAUAUUUAGAUUGCCGAUUUUUAUGUACUUUAUUACUUCUGUUCCAGAGCCUAUCCCUAUUGUUUAUCCUUAUGAAAUAUGAUAUAAAAUUGAAGGUAGAAGAAAGGGAUAUAAUGAAAUUCUUGAUUUGAUUUUCAACCAAACCACCCUUUUUAUGAAAAUGGAGAGUGGUCUUAUUCAAAUUCAAAGCGCUUCGUAAUCUUUAACCAGUUCUGUGCUUCAAUAUAAUUUCCUGGAGUAAGCGCUAUAGCUUGUUUCCAAUACUCAGCAGCUUGAUCAAACCAAGCUUCCGCAAUUUCCGAAUCGCCCUGUAGAAUGGCCUGUUCUCCUCGGUUGGAAUAGGCAGUUCCUUUCCCUAGAACCGUACUUGAGAGUUUCCUACCUCAUACGGCUCAGAAAUUGCUAUCUUAAUUUCCCCUAUCUUAACUGAAUUCGAUUUCUCAAAAAUCAAUCCAAUUUCUUCUUGGGUUAAGCAGAAGAAGUUAAUUACCUAAGUUUCAAACCCUAAUUUUGAUCAAUAAUCAGUUUGAUCUUUUCUCCCACCUUCAGAAGAAUGAAGCAUAGAUAGACCUAUAUCCUUCGUUCGAAUUUUCUGAAAGGUAACUAUCUCGGUUUCGUUUCUUUCAUAUAUGAAAUUUCUAUAGAAUCCUGGAAAAAGACCUUUUUCCAUAAGAAAGAAAAAAGAACUUACUAUCUUUGGGAUCUGAUACUACACCGCUGCUUAAUCCCUUAGUGGAUCGGCUUUAUUACAUAAGCGGAUUCCUAAAUUUUGUCCCAUAUCGUGGUAUAAUGAAGCAGUUUUUUUUAGUUGUAUCGACCCAGUCGCUCACUAAUUGAUCUUUACGGUGUUUUCUCUAUCAAUUUCAGCUUUAUCCAUAGAAUAGUAGUAUAGGCUCUACUUUCUUCCUAUUUUGAUUCUCGUGAAGUGUCCUUCCUUCCUACAGCUGAUAGGGUAAAAUCGUUGUUUUGACGAUCCCUAUGUAGAAAGCCCUCUUUUCUAGUAUUCACUAGAAAAUUUCCUCCUUUCUUUUUUUUCUUCUUUCUAUAGUGGAGAUAGUCGCACGUAAUGACAGAUCACGGCCAUAUUAUUAAAAGCUUGCGGUAAGAAGGGGUUUCGUUCUAGCGCCCGGAAAUAAUAUUCCAAAGCCUUUGUAUGCUCUCCAUUGCUUGUGUGUAUAAGGCCUAUGUUAUAUAGUAUAUAACUUCGAUCAUAGGGAUCAAUUUCUAGUCGCGUAGCUUCAUAAUAAUUCUGCAAAGCUUCCGCAUAAUUUCCUUCGGAUUGAGCCAACAUCCGUUACGGUCGUUCAUUCUAUUCAAAAAAUCUCCGUUCCAAAACCGUACAUGAGGUUUUCAUCUCAUACGGCUUCUCCCUUCUAUACAUAGUACUAAGCGAAAAAUCUAUAGAAUAAAAAUCGAAUUAGUCCCAUCUCAUUAUGGACCGAAGGGGGCUGGUAUUUUUCCAAGAAAUCUCUAGCCAACCUUCCCCCAAGAGGUUUUUCUUAACACCAAUGAAUUAUAUUAAUGCUAGAGGAAAACGAUAGCUCCAAGAAUUUCUUUGUUCUCAACGCCUCCUAUUUAGAGGAAUUAGCCACUUCAACGACCUUUGAUGGUUAUAAGGGUAUCCAAAGUACAAACCUGAUGGUUGUUUGUUAUCCCAACCAUUCUUCCCAACCCUGAUACCAAUCAGGAAAGGGCUAAUUUCUAACAAAGUUUUUCUCUUGUUGAUUCCUAUUUCGUGGUGUAGUGCUUUUCUCCCCUAUGCUGCCUAUUGGUACUAGUAGAGUCGGAUUGCCCUGUAAUACAGAACCUAUCCUGUAGGUGUAACCUUUCGCUCAAUACUCAAAUCUACAAUUGAAGCAUCUGAGGCCACAUCAAUCGAGGAUACACGACAGAAGGAAUUGUUAGUUCACCUCACCUUCCCCAAGCGCGGGUUUCCUUUACUAAUUUUGUUCUCUCUAUGCGAACCCUCUCUCUUUCUCGUAAGAAUGAGAUAUAGGUAGGGCUAAAAAAAAAAAGAGUCAAAUCGCACCAUCUCUAUAAUAAGUAAAUGCCCUUUUUUCCCCGGAGGUUGUCGGAAUUAUUUGCAAUAAAAUAUUGGCUACAAUCGAGGAGGUCUUAUCAAUGAAAUUUCCAUUUAUACGGGAUCUAGGCAUAAUUCCCAACCCAUUCUAUAUAGAAUUCUUUUCAUUCUAUCACAAAAUAACAUAAAAACAAAACAUUCGAUUCUUAUAAAUCGAUCCAUAUGCUCUAAAUGGAUAAGAGAGAUAUGGAUUUUCCGCUCAGCUCAAAUUGUCUCCUUUUCCUUCUGUUUGGACAAGAAGAGAAGAGAUAUGAAAUAUUUGACUAAGACUGGAUUUCAUUCCACUUUCCUAUUUCUCAACAACAACUUCCCUCAUCAGCUAUUUCGCGUUUUCAAAGUCAUUAAUUGCCCCAUACCCCUUUUAUAUUUAGAUUGUAUGGCGUAAUGUACCUUAUGCAAAUGGAAUUCUAGGGUUCCUUUAUUUUCUUAUGGAAUAAGAAGAAUUCUUCCAUUCUCUUUUUAUUUUGGUUUUCCCCAAAGAAAAACUUUUCGAGGGAGCAGAAUUCCUAGUAAAAAAAUACAGGAUCCUUCCACUUAGAUGAAAAGGAAUUUUUCCAUCCAAUCCAAUAGAGCCAUGGAAUUCCCGAGCCGUUGUGGCUGUACCUGUACUGCAGGAAUACGAAAACUCGCUAUUCACUCAGUUUAUUUUCCAUAAUAAGAUUAUGUAGGAGAGAUGGCCGAGCGGUUCAAGGCGUAGCAUUGGAACUGCUAUGUAGACUUUUGUUUACCGAGGGUUCGAAUCCCUCUCUUUCCGUUUCUCUUAAUUCAUCAAUGUUAGCGAUCACAAUGUAUCAAAUUAAAUAACAAUUUAUUCCAACAAUAAUACCUUUAAUUAAUAGAAAUUCUCUAUAGCAAAUUACUGUGGUAUGUAAAAUACACAUCGAGGAAAUAACAAAAAAGAAAAAAGUAUCCUAGGGUUAAUCUAUUUCUGCUAGGUGAACGGGAAAAUACGAAUUAAGAGCCUUAGGUCGAUUUAGUUCGGGGAAAGGGGAAGGGGAAAAAAAUUCUAUGAACCUUUCCUUUUUUCGUUAAGUUCAAGUCUGGCGAGAAUAAUAUUCUACAACUAACAACUCAUUUAUUUUGAGACCGACCCACUUCCUAUCUAGAAUUUUUUUUACUAGUCCUUUAUAUUGCAAUGUGUCAACCGUCAAAUGCUUUGGUAAUUUGCCCGGAUCGGAUGAAGCAAUAUAAUUUUGAACCAAACGUUUUGAUCGUUGGUUAUCCUUCGUAGUAAUAAUAUCUCGGGGUUUGCAACGAAAGCUUGGUAUAUCAACUAUACGACCAUUAACUAAAAUAUGUCUAUGGUUAACUAAUUGUCGGGCCCCAGGAAUGGUUGAAGCCAUACCCAAUCGAAAAAGGAUAUUAUCCAAACGCAUUUCAAGUAAUUGUAGUAAAACCUGACCUGUGGAUCUUUUUGCUUUUCCAGCGAUAUGUACAUAUCUAAGUAAUUGUCGUUCUGUCAGACCAUAAUGAAAACGCAAUUUCUGUUUUUCUUGAAGACGAAUACGAUAUUGCUCUUUUUUCCCAGAAUGGAAUUUCUUUUUCUGAUUACUUCCGGAUUUAGGCGUUUUUCUAGUGAGUCCUGGUAAAGCUCCCAGACGGCGUAUUUUUUUUAAACGAGGCCCUCGAUAACGGGACAUGAAGACUCCUUUUUUAUUUUAUUGAAAUUUCAUUUUACACAAUAAAUUUCGUUCUAUUUACAUUACAGAAUACAGCGAAAUUCAAACAGAAUUAAACUAAAGGAUAAACAGAGUAAAAUCUACUAAAGUAACACAAAAAAUGGAGUAACACAAAAAAUGGAAUUUCAUCAACAUCUGGAUUUUUUGUAUAUAUAUUAUUUAUUUUUAUGCUUUGUAUCUAGCAAAAUUGUAAGGUAAAACGACAUAAUAGACCCUGGAUUCCCCAUUUUAUUCGGAGAAAAAGAGAAAUUCUUGUUCAUAGAACAUCGAUAGAAAAAAAAGCCGACUAUCGGAUUUGAACCGAUGACCCUCGCAUUACAAAUGCGAUGCUCUAACCUCUGAGCUAAGUGGGCUUACAUAACAGAAAUAGUGUAACAAAUAAAAAUAUAUAUAGGGAAUCUGUAAAAUGUCAGAUCUUAAUUAUUAAUCUUAGUUAUUAACUAGUUCUAAAUUGGAAGUUCCACUUAGAUAGAAAAAAAAAAAUACUAGAAUUUCAUAAAGAUAAAGUUAGCUUGAUAUGCUUAACUAAAUGAUAUUCUUAAAUAGGAUUAUAGAAUUUAUUGAACUUUCUUUUUAUUUCUCUAAUUCGCAAAUGGAUUUUUUUAAUAGAAUCUAUUCCAAAUUCUAUAUUGAAUUUGAUUUCAGAUAUUUUCAAUUUGAUAUGGCUCGGAGGAAUAAUCUAAUACAUAGAAAAGAAGAAAAAGAAGAAUAUAUAUGAAUAAUAUAAUAAAGAGAAAAUGCCAAGAGAUUGGCAUUUUCAUUUGAUCAUUAUAUACAUUUUUGAGAUAUUUUGUUUUUUAUUUGUUAAUAAUUUAAGGAUAAAUAGUUCACUAAGGAGAAGAUAGAAUCAUAGCAAAUGAAAUUUCUAAUUCAGUUUAGAAAAAAAGAAUGAAUAUCAAGCGUUAUAGUAUGAUUUGGAAUACUCUAAAAAAGGAAGGAGGGAGGCGGGAGAGAGAAAAACUUUUGGAUAUAUUCAUUCCGAUUGAAUUGCAAAUAUAUCAACGAUAAAAUCAAUGCAAUUCUGAAUUGCAAUAAGCGAGCGGGGUGUCUCAAAUAGAGAUGAGUUGCUAGACUACGUCGAAUAAUGAAUUCAAUGAUUCAAAAAAAACUAAGAGAUGGAUUAAAUUAUACAAGGAAUCCUGGUUUCAAAGAAAAGUAAAAUGGGGAUAUGGCGAAAUCGGUAGACGCUACGGACUUGAUUGUAUUGAGCCUUGGUAUGGAAACCUGCUAAGUGGUAACUUCCAAAUUCAGAGAAACCCUGGAAUGAAAAAUGGGCAAUCCUGAGCCAAAUCCCUUUUUUGAAAAACAAGUGGUUCUCAAACUAGAACCCAAAGGAAAAGGAUAGGUGCAGAGACUCAAUGGAAGCUGUUCUAACGAAUCGAAGUAAUAACGAUUAAUCACAGAACCCAUAUUAUAAUAUAGGUUCUUUAUUUUAUUUUUAGAAUGAAAUUAGGAAUGAUUAUGAAAUAGAAAAUUCAUAAUUUUUUUUUAGAAUUAUUGUGAAUCUAUUCCAAUCAAAUAUUGAGUAAUCAAAUCCUUCAAUUCAUUGUUUUCGAGAUCUUUUAAUUUUUAAAAGUGGAUUAAUCGGACGAGGAUAAAGAGAGAGUCCCAUUCUACAUGUCAAUACUGACAACAAUGAAAUUUCUAGUAAAAGGAAAAUCCGUCGACUUUAUAAGUCGUGAGGGUUCAAGUCCCUCUAUCCCCAAACCCUCUUUUAUUCCCUAACCAUAGUUGUUAUCCUUUUUUUCUUUUAUCAAUGGGUUUAAGAUUCACUAGCUUUCUCAUUCUACUCUUUCACAAAGGAGUGCGACAAGAACUCAAUGAAUCUUAUGCUAUUCAUUAAAUAGAUGAUUUCUUUUUUAUUUCUUUUUUAUUUAUUAGAGUAGAGUAUCGGCAAGGAAUCUCGAUUAUUAAUUCGUUUUUUUUAAGUAUUAUUAAGUAAGCCAUCCACAAUGCAUAGGACUACCCCUCCCCAUUUCCUAAUUUUGAAUGGAAUACUUUAUUGAUUUUUUAGUCCCUUUAAUUGACAUAGAUGCAAAUACUUUACUAAGAUGAUGCACAAGAAAGGGUCAGGAUAGCUCAGUUGGUAGAGCAGAGGACUGAAAAUCCUCGUGUCACCAGUUCAAAUCUGGUUCCUGGCACAGAAAAAAAGGAUCUACUGAAUAGAUAUUGAUACAAAUAUUUUGAGAUGGAUUGGGGUAAAUAUUUAUUAAAAAUCUACUUAGUCUUUAGUCUAGAGUAAGUAGAUAAAUCUCUAGAGUAAGUAGAUAAAUCUCUAAACACUUCUUUUUCUUUUAAAAAAAGGGUUUAAAUCUCUGGUUCUUUAUGGUAUAGAAAGAGGUGAGAUUAGGUGCCCUUUUCUUCAUUUUGCAUUUCUUAUUAAUUUUGUAUACCGCUAUUCCGAAGAAUAUAUUUUUUUUUAUUCUUGCUUAUCCUACUUUCCCAGUUGUUCUAAGUAAUAUGCGCGGUACAAAGUUCGUGGUAGGAACUUCUUUGAGUCAUUGUAUUUUUCUGUUCAUACGAAGGAAACAAAUAUGUGAUUUUCCAAAUUGGAAAAUAGAAAUGAAGCCCUUUUUGUUCAGUCUAUCUGGACCUUUUUGUAUAAUAGGAAUUAAUUAGAAUAUUAUAUUCUAAGUAUUUCGUUUCGUCUAGGAACAGAACGUCAAAAUAUUCCUUGACUUGAAUAAAAUCUGGAAUUGUGUUGUAUAAGUGAACAUGAAUUUAUUAUCACUCAAUGAGCAUCUUGUAUUUCAUAGAAAUUGGGGGUUAUAUAGUCCUUACGUAAGGGCCAGCCUAUCCAACUUUCAGGCAUUAAGAUACGUUUAAGACGUGGAUGAUUAUCAUAAGAAAUUCCCACCAUAUCAUAAGAUUCGCGUUCUUGAAAAUCGGCACUUCUCCAAACCCAGAAAACAGACGGGAUUCUAGGAUUAUCCUUUUGGGCAAAGACUUUUAUGCAUACCUCUUCUGGGUUAUCUAUACCAUACUGUAUUCUCGUAAGAUGAUACACGCUAGCUAAAGAUCCACCGGGUGCUACGUCAUAAGCACAUUGGGAACGUAAAUAAUUGUAACCAUAUACAUAUAAAAUGACAGCAAUGGAAUCCCAAUCCCCCGCUUUUAUUUGUAAAGUCUCUACUCCUCGAUGAUCGAAGCCCAAAGACCUAUGAACCACGUCAUGUUUAACUAGCCAAUUAGAUAACCAACCCUGCUGCAUUGUCUUGAUCUCUCCCCCUUUGUAUAAAUAUUUCACAUUUCAAAUGCAAGUUUGAAAGAUUGUACUGCUCUUUUCUUUCUUUUUCUGCACAAAAGAACCCCUCCUAAUUCACUAAUUUGUAGGAAGAUACUGAACUUUUGGAUUUGAAAAAAGUUUCAGAAGAUAUAUCUAAAGUAGAUGGUGAUUGAUAGAGCAAUUCUUGUUCGUAAGUUCCAGUGUGAGUACUGCGCCGAACAUAAAGUUUGUGACGGGUAGUAAAAGAUCUAUUUUUCUUUUGACUUUGACAUAGAGUUCGAUCCUCAAUUAUUUCUCGCGCUAUCUUCUUACGAAGUUUUGUUAGGGCAUCUAUAACAGCCUCUGGUUUAGGCGGGCAACCCGGCAGGUAGACGUCCACAGGAAUUAACUUAUCAACUCCUCGAACAGUACUAUAGGAAUCUGUACUGAACAUGCCCCCUGUAAUAGUACAGGCUCCCAUAGCAAUGACGUAUUUCGGUUCAGGCAUUUGCUCAUAUAAUCGCACUAAAGAUGGAGCCAUUUUCAUUGUUACCGUACCAGCUGUUAAAAUUAGGUCCGCUUGUCUAGGACUUGAUCUUGGUACCAAUCCAUAACGAUCAAAGUCGAAUCGUGAGCCUAUUAAUGAAGCAAAUUCAAUGAAACAACAACUGGUACCAUAUAGAAGGGGCCAUAAACUUGAGAGUCUUGACCAAUUUGAAAGAUCGUUUGGUGUAGUUGAAAUAACGGAAUUGGAACUUGUUUGGUCGAGUAACGGAAACUCAAUCAAACUCAUAAUUGUCUCAAUGGAAUCUUUUCCUUCUUUUUUUUUUUUUUCUGAAUAUUCAGUUAAGACCAUUCCAAGGCUCCUUUUCGCCAUGCAUAAACUAAACCAACAACUAGGAUAAGCACAAAAAUGAAAGCUUCGAUAAAAACGGAUACACCCAAUACGUCGAAACUCAUUGCCCAAGGGUAGAGAAAGACUGUUUCCACAUCAAAAACAACAAAAACUAGCGCAAACAUGUAAUAGCGUAUUCGGAAUUGUAACCAAGCCCCCCCCAUGGGUUCUAUACCCGAUUCAUAACUAGAAAGCUUCUCUGGUCCUUCACUAACCGGGGCUAAAAGUCCUGAAAUCCAAAAUACCAAAAUAGGAAUAAGGCUUGCUAUUAUUAGAAAUGUCCAAAAAAUAUCAUAUUCGUGAAGCAGAAACAUAAAUGUACUCCCAUUAAUGUGGAAUAGGCGGAACUGAAUUAGUCAAUUCAAGUUGACAUUGUCAAUUUAUCCAGAACUUCUCUCUUUUCCUCGGUGAAACAAGAAUCUGUUUUGCUCAAACCAAAGGCAAGGAGCGCUUACUUUAGCCUUUAUUUCUUUUGUGAUAUGUCUUCCUUAAGGAUUCAUCCAAUGUAAUCCCCACUUCCCUUCUUUUUGAUUUCCCUUCUAUUUAGAUAUGAUAUAGACCUAAUUCUUAUACAAAGAAAACUCUUUCGCUUCACUUUGUCUCACUUUCUCUAGAAUCUCUAGAAAAAAGAAUUGCUCUACCCUUUAUUUAAUGAUAGUCAGAGACUAUUAAAUAAAAAAGAAAAUACUUACUACUAAUUGGAUUAGAACCUAAUUAAAAUAGGAUGAUUAAUAUAUAUUAAAAUAGGAUGAUUAAUAUAUACAUCCUAAUGAGGAGUAAUACUAAAAAAAAGAACUCUAUUUCAGAAUUAUGAAACAGAAUAUCCUGUUUUAUUAUUUACUCUUUCUUUUUUUUUUUCUUUCGAUUUUUUCUAUUUUAUUUAAAGUGGAUCGAUUUAGAUAAUGUAUAUGAUAGUAAUAUACUUCAAAUAAAAUAGGAAUUCGCAAAAUGGAGAAAAUCGUUGCAGUCAUUAUAGGAAAGUAUGGGAAGACUUAGAGCAUAUCCUAUUUAAAGGAGGAUGAAAUUCAAAUCAGGUAAGGGAUCCUUCCUUCUAUUGAUUUGAUCAAAAUUCUUUUUUCUUUUCCUGUCUCUCUGAUUUGCGUUUCGAUGAAUGAGCCUAUGGUAAUGCUUUUAUCUCUAUUCUAUGGCGCAAUCGACCGUCGAGUCUAUAAACAAGUACUAAAUAAGGAAAAGAAAACUAUACUAAAGGAAACAUAAGAUAUCCAUCCUAAAAUGGAAAAAAGACGUAUAUAUUAGGGCUAUACGGAUUCGAACCGUAGACCUUCUCGGUAAAACAGAUCAAACAGAUUAUUAUCGAAAUGAUUCGAACUGUUUCAAAGACCCAACAUGCAUUUUUCUGCAUUGGGCUCUUUCAUCAACUAAUGUAAAGAUCAGUUAAUUCGCCAUAGUUUUUCUUUAGGGAAAGAUAAUAAGAUGGCUCCCUGUGCUCUGAUUGAUUAUUUGUCUUAUGAUCUAUCUAGGAACAAUACCAAAGUGUUUCAAAGGAGGAUUACCUUGACUUAGGUCUGCCUCCGGCCUAAAUUAAAUCAACCUAAGUGAAAUGGAGUCUCUAUCGUUCCGCUGCAAGAGUUUACUAUGAGACUUCAUACACCUUAAAGUUCAUAGAACGAAAAGAAGUUUUUUGGAGGCCCUUAUCCUCAUUACGCCUAGCAUUGAGUGGGCUGGAUAUUUACCUUAUCAACUAGCAAAUCAAUAGGAGUUCUAUUUGAGUAAGCACCUUAAUUGGCACCUGAAUCGGACUGAACCAGCUGUUUGUCAUUGUCAGGCUACUGUUCUUCUAUUCUUUCGAAUCCAUGAAGUAAGACAUUGAUUUUGCAACAAGGUCAAUUAUGUUCAUUGCAUAAAAAGUUCCCUUGAAAAGCAUUGGCGCACGUGUAAACGAGUUGCUCUACCGAACUGAGCUAUAGCCCUUGUCAGAGAUAUCUUAACAUAUAGAUAAUUUCUUGUCAAGAUGAAUAUUCUCUAAUGCCAGAGGAUAUCCCUUUGAUCCGUUUACUAUAUAACAUAAACAUACCAAUAACGGAGCGGUAUUGCUUAUAAAAAGGAUUCAAUCUAUAAUCGAUCGAAGUAAUGGGGCUUCUUUUGUGGUGAUAAAUUGCCUACUUAACUCAGUGGUUAGAGUAUUGCUUUCAUACGGCGGGAGUCAUUGGUUCAAAUCCAAUAGUAGGUAGGUAGGUAGAAAAAUUACUAGAUAGCAUUGGACUUACUUCGCUUCGCUAUCUAAUAACUUUUUCUACCCUUCUUUCCUUUUUCUUUGUAUCAACGAAAUCUUUGGAUUGUCUUCAAUUGGAUGGGGGAAUCCAAUUGACAGCCUCGACUCGUAUCCUAGCUCGUCUGAGAGCUAGCUUCGCUUCAACCAAUUCUUUCGUACCUUCAGCUUUACUCAAGUUAGCUUCGGCUAUUUCAAGUGCCUGUUGAGCUUCUUCUGGAUCAAUGUCACUACCCAGUUCUGCAUCAUUUCCUAAAAUGAUGAUCUCAUUAUUAACUAUUCUUGCAAAACCACUCCACAGAACCGCCGUUAACCAUUGGUCGUUCAGGAGGCGUAUUCUCAAAGGACCCAUAUCUACAGCUGUGUUAAUGGGGGCGUGGUUUGGUAAUACACCAAUUUGGCCACUAUUAGUAGAUAAAAUGAUUUCUUUCACUUCACAAUCCCAAAUAAUUCGUUUAGGAGUCAGUACAUAAAGAUUUAAUUUCAUUUCUUCAAUUUGCUCUCCUCUUCUAAGUUUAUAGCUUUCGUGCUAGCUUCAUCGAUGUUCCCCACUAAAUAAAAAGCCUGUUCGGGUAGGCCGUCUAAUUCUCCGGAAAGGAUUAGUUGAAAUCCCCUAAUUGUUUCUGCAAGACCAACAUACUUUCCUGGAGAACCGGUAAAAACUUCUGCCACAAAGAACGGUUGUGAUAAGAACCGCUCGAUUUUUCGUGCUCUUGCUACAGUUAAACGAUCCUCCUCCGAUAAUUCAUCCAAUCCAAGAAUUGCGAUAAUGUCCUGAAGUUCUUUGUAACGUUGUAAAGUUUCCUUAACUCUUUGCGCAGUUUCAUAAUGUUCGUUGCCAACAAUCCGAGGCUGUAACAUAGUUGAGGUUGAAUCUAAAGGAUCCACUGCGGGAUAAAUACCCUUGGAAGCUAAUCCUCUGGAAAGUACGGUAGUAGCGUCCAAAUGUGCAAAUGUUGUGGCAGGAGCAGGGUCGGUCAAAUCGUCUGCAGGUACAUAAACUGCUUGGAUCGAAGUUAUAGAUCCCUUUUUGGUAGAAGUAAUUCUUUCUUGCAAAGAACCCAUUUCUGUACUAAGGGUAGGUUGAUAACCCACUGCGGAGGGCAUUCUGCCUAAUAAGGCGGAUACUUCCGAUCCUGCUUGAACAAAACGAAAGAUAUUAUCGAUGAAUAAAAGCACGUCUUGCUUAUUAACAUCUCGGAAAUAUUCUGCCAUAGUUAGGGCAGUUAAACCAACUCUCAUACGAGCUCCCGGCGGUUCAUUCAUUUGGCCAUAGACUAGAGCUACCUUUGAUUCCUCAAUAUUUUUUUCAUUAAUUACUCCGGAUUCCUUCAUUUCCAUAUAAAGAUCAUUUCCUUCACGAGUCCGUUCCCCUACUCCGCCAAAUACGGAUACGCCUCCAUGAGCUUUAGCAAUGUUAUUGAUUAAUUCCAUGAUGAGUACUGUUUUACCUACUCCUGCCCCCCCAAACAGUCCGAUUUUUCCUCCACGUCGAUAGGGAGCUAAAAGAUCGACCACCUUAAUACCUGUUUCAAAGAUAGAUAAUUUCGUAUCUAACUCGAUAAAGGCAGGCGCAGAUCUAUGAAUAGGAAAUGUUGCACUAGUAUCCACAGGACCCAAAUUGUCAAUAGGCUCCCCAAGAACGUUAAAAAUUCGUCCGAGAGUAGCUCCACCGACUGGAACACUGAGAGGAGUUCCCGUGUCAAUCACUUCCAUUCCUCUCAUCAACCCCUCUGUAGCACUCAUAGCCACAGCUCUAACUCGAUUAUUUCCUAAUAAUUGUUGUACCUCACAAGUCACAUUAAUUUGCUUAUCGGCAGUGUCUCGACUCUUGACUAUCAAAGCAUUAUAAAUAUAAGGCAACUUGCCCGGGGGAAAAGUGAUAUCCAGCACGGGUCCAAUAAUUUGAUCAAUACGCCCUACGCUUUUUUCUUCAAUUGUGGAAAUCCCGGGACGCGAAGUAGUAGGAUUGGUUCUCAUAAUUAUCACAUAAUUUUCAAAAAAAAAAGGAAUUUGUCGAAAUUUUUUUUCUUGUUGAAUAAUGCCAAAUCAAAAAAAAUAUCCAAAAAUCCAAAAGUCAAAAGGAAAUGAAUUAGUUAAUUCAAUAAAAAAGAAAAGGGGACUCGCACUUGAUUUCGUUGCCCAAGCGAAUCCCAUUCAAUCGUUUACUUAUGGAAUGAAUCCGUUGGAAAGUUCAAUCCAUUUUUUUCAUAUAAAUUUCGCCUUUUGUGAAGGAUCUGUGCCUACUCUACUUUCCUAUCUAGGACUUCGAUAUACAAAAUAUAUACUACUGUGAAGCAUAGAUUGCUGUCAACAGAGAAUUUUCUUAGUAUUUAGGUAUUUAGAUUCAAAAUAUCAAAGGGGAAGAACUUUAAAAAUUGUAAAAUAAAGAUUAGGGUUUGGGUUGCGCUAUAUCUAUCAAAGAGUAUACAAUAAUGAUGGAUUUGGUGAAUCAAAUCCACGGUUUAAUAACGAACCGUGUUAACUUACCAUAACAACAACUCAAUUCCUAUCGAAUUCCUUCCUAUCGAAUUCCUAUAGUAAAAUUCCUAUAGGAUAGAACGUACACAGGGUGUACACAUUAUAUAUGAAUGAAACAUAUUCAUUAACUUAAGCAUACUCCUUUUUUUAUUUAAUGAGUUGAUAUUAAUUAAAUAUCUUUUUUUUUAGAUUUUUGCAAAGGUUUCAUUUACGCCUAAUCCAUAUCGAGUAGACCCUGUCGUUGUGAGAAUUCUUAAUUCAUGAGUUGUAGGGAGGGACUUAUGUCACCACAAACAGAAACUAAAGCAAGUGUUGGAUUUAAAGCUGGUGUUAAGGAUUAUAAAUUGACUUACUACACCCCGGAGUACGAAACCAAGGAUACUGAUAUCUUGGCAGCAUUCCGAGUAACUCCUCAGCUCGGGGUUCCGCCUGAAGAAGCAGGAGCUGCAGUAGCUGCGGAAUCUUCUACUGGUACAUGGACAACUGUUUGGACUGAUGGACUUACCAGUCUUGAUCGUUACAAAGGACGAUGCUAUCACAUCGAGCCCGUUCCUGGGGACCCAGAUCAAUAUAUCUGUUAUGUAGCUUAUCCAUUAGACCUAUUUGAAGAGGGUUCUGUUACUAACAUGUUUACUUCCAUUGUGGGUAACGUAUUUGGUUUCAAAGCCUUACGCGCUCUACGUUUGGAGGAUCUACGAAUUCCCCCUGCUUAUUCAAAAACUUUCCAAGGUCCGCCUCACGGUAUCCAAGUUGAAAGGGAUAAGUUGAACAAGUACGGUCGUCCUUUAUUGGGAUGUACUAUUAAACCAAAAUUGGGAUUAUCCGCAAAAAAUUACGGUAGAGCGUGUUAUGAGUGUCUACGCGGUGGACUUGAUUUUACCAAAGAUGAUGAAAACGUAAACUCACAACCAUUUAUGCGCUGGAGAGACCGUUUUGUCUUUUGUGCCGAAGCAAUUUAUAAAGCACAAGCCGAAACUGGUGAAAUCAAGGGGCAUUACUUGAAUGCGACUGCAGGUACAUGCGAAGAAAUGAUUAAGAGAGCUGUAUUUGCAAGGGAAUUAGGGGUUCCUAUUGUAAUGCAUGACUACUUAACAGGAGGAUUCACCGCAAAUACUACUUUGUCUCAUUAUUGCCGCGACAACGGCCUACUUCUUCACAUUCACCGAGCAAUGCAUGCAGUUAUUGAUAGACAGAAAAAUCAUGGUAUGCAUUUCCGUGUAUUAGCUAAAGCAUUGCGUAUGUCGGGGGGAGAUCAUAUCCACUCCGGUACAGUAGUAGGUAAGUUAGAAGGGGAACGCGAAAUAACUUUAGGUUUUGUUGAUUUAUUGCGCGAUGAUUUUAUUGAAAAAGAUCGUUCUCGCGGUAUCUUUUUCACUCAGGACUGGGUAUCCAUGCCAGGUGUUAUACCGGUGGCUUCUGGGGGUAUUCAUGUUUGGCAUAUGCCAGCUCUGACCGAAAUCUUUGGAGAUGAUUCCGUAUUACAAUUUGGUGGAGGAACUUUAGGACAUCCUUGGGGAAAUGCACCUGGUGCAGCAGCUAAUCGUGUGGCUUUAGAAGCCUGUGUACAAGCUCGUAACGAAGGGCGCGAUCUUGCUCGUGAAGGUAAUGAAAUUAUCAAAGCAGCUUGCAAAUGGAGUGCUGAACUAGCCGCAGCUUGUGAAAUAUGGAAGGAGAUCAAAUUUGAUGGUUUCAAAGCGAUGGAUACCAUAUAAAAUAAAAAAAAAAGCAAAAUAGAAAGAGA